rnacentral:rRNA from 1 species
CUCUGUGACCAUACCACCCUGAGUGUGCCUGAUCCCAUCUGUUCUCGUGAAACUAAGCAGGGUUGAGCCUGGUUAGUCCUUGGAUGGGAGACUGCCUGGUAAUAUCAGUUGCUGUGGGCC